GGUCCGAUUGAUGCAUGGUUGA
rnacentral:siRNA from 1 species